rnacentral:rRNA from 1 species
AGCGAACGCUGGCGGCAGGCCUAACACAUGCAAGUCGAACGAACCUUUCGGGGUUAGUGGCGGACGGGUGAGUAACACGUGGGAACGUGCCUUUAGGUUCGGAAUAACUCAGGGAAACUUGUGCUAAUACCGAAUGUGCCCUUCGGGGGAAAGAUUUAUCGCCUUUAGAGCGGCCCGCGUCUGAUUAGCUAGUUGGUUGAGGUAAUGGCUCACCAAGGCGACAAUCAGUAGCUGGUCUGAGAGGAUGAUCAGCCACAUUGGGACUGAGACACGGCCCAAACUCCUACGGGAGGCAGCAGUGGGGAAUCUUGCGCAAUGGGCGAAAGCCUGACGCAGCCAUGCCGCGUGAAUGAUGAAGGUCUUAGGAUUGUAAAAUUCUUUCACCGGGGACGAUAAUGACGGUACCCGGAGAAGAAGCCCCGGCUAACUUCGUG